rnacentral:rRNA from 1 species
UACGGAGGAUGCAAGCGUUAUCCGGAUUUAUUGGGCGUAAAGCGUCCGCAGGUGGUUUUUCAAGUCUGCUGUUAAAGCGCGAGGCUUAACUUCGUACAGGCAGUGGAAACUGGAAGACUUGAGUAUGGUAGGGGUAGCGGGAAUUCCCAGUGUAGCGGUGAAAUGCGUAGAUAUUGGGAGGAACACCUGAGGCGAAGGCGGGCUACUGGGCCGAUACUGACGCUGAGGCGCGAAAGCCAGGGGAGCAAACGGG